rnacentral:lncRNA from 1 species
UUGACCCGUAGUCUUGAGAGAAAGGAAACAAGCGACGGAUCGCAUCACGCUGCGGGUGGCCCCCUCCCAAAAUAAUUCAACGUCCAGUUGCCAAACGACGAGGACGACGCGUCGCUGGUGGCCACAGUUUGUUUAUACGCAACACUCACCCAGGCCAAACCUCUCUACCUCUACCUCUACCGUACGUACGUAUGCUCUCUGCCGCGUCCAGUCCACACUCCACAAUCGCUCUGCUUGCUGCAGUACCGUCUGCCGGGGCAGCAAUGGCAAUGGCAGCACUGUCCCUCCUCCUCCUCCUUGUCUUCCUCCUCGCGUGCUCCGUCGCCACNN